rnacentral:tRNA from 1 species
UUUCGGAUAGCUCAGUGGGAGAGCAGUAGACCGUAAAUCUACUUGGCGCGGGUUCGAAUCCCGCUCCGACAA